AUCCUCGAUCUGUUGCGGGCAGAUGUAGUGGAUGUGGCUGUCGAAGCCGCCGGCCGUGAGAAUUUUUCCUUCACCGGCAAUCACUUCGGUGCCCGGCCCGACCACGAUGUCGACACCGGGCUGGAUAUCCGGAUUGCCGGCUUUCCCGAGCUUGAAGAUCCGGCCCUGCACGAUCCCGACGUCGCACUUCACGACGCCCCAAUGGUCGAGCACCACGGCGUUGGUGAUGACCGUGUCGACGGCCCCGUCGCGGUUGGUCACCUGCGACUGGCCCAUCCCGUCGCGGAU
rnacentral:sRNA from 1 species